rnacentral:rRNA from 1 species
UUUUGAGAGUUUGAUCCUGGCUCAGGAUGAACGCUGGCGACGUGGAUAAGGCAUGCAAGUCGAGUGGGUUUAGACCCACGGCAAACGGGUUAGUAAUACAUAGGAACGUACCCCUAAGUCGUGAAUAACUUGGAGAAAUCCAGGAUAAUACACGAUAAUCUCUACGGAGUAAUGUCCCGACGCAAGUCGGGACGCUUAGGGAGCGGCCUGUGUCCUAUCAGCUAGUUGGUGAGGUAAUGGCUCACCAAGGCUAUGACGGGUAGGGGGCGUGAGAGCGUGAUCCCCAACAUUGGAACUGAGACACUGUCCAAACACCUACGGGUGGCUGCAGUCGAGAAUAUUCCACAAUGGGCGAAAGCCUGAUGGAGCGACGUCGCGUGCGGGAUGAAGGCCCUUGGGUCGUAAACCGCUUUUCUAAAGGAAGAAAUUGUGUCUCACUGUUAUUUGGUGUAACAAUUUUUAAAUUUUUAAUUUUAUAAUUUUGUAAAUAAAUCUUAAUUUUUGAAUUUUUAAACAUUAAGACAUUAAAAAUUAUUUAAAAAUUAAAAAUUUUAAGGCGGAAUUCCUCUUUUUCGGGAAUGACUGACACAAAAUAAUAGUGAGGCACGAUUUGACGGUACUUUAGGAAUAAGAGGUUGCUAACUCUGUGCCAGCAGCAGCGGUAAUACAGAGACCUCAAGCGUUAUCCGGAUUUAUUGGGCGUAAAGAGCAU